UGGACUGUAGCUGGUGCACUUGUGGCUAUCGGGCCUCACAAUUUUGUCCUCUGAACUUUGACCCAAAAGGCGCCUCUUGAGGGUGGAGUGUGCUUCUAUCUCAUAUAAGGCAGAGUAUCCCUGACUCACAACCAAUGUGUGACUAAAUCCCCUAUUUGUUGUGAUCAAAGAACUCUGAGACUCAUACGGAUGGAGGGCUCAUCCCAGCAAGAGAUAGUGUUC
rnacentral:lncRNA from 1 species